UCGAGAUCAUUCUUGGAGCGCACCGCGAGUACUCACCGUUCCUUUCGCCUACCUCCCUCCCAUUACGAGGGCCACCCCACUUCCAACCGGGGACGAACCCUAGACUUGCAUCCUGCCCUCCUCCGACCCCGCGACAAUGGCCGAUGCGUACUGGAGGUACGGCGAUGCGCGCCACCAGGCGGCUGCGGCGGCGAUGGCCCCUCCCCCCGCCACUCUCAAGCGACCUCGUGCGGAGUACCAGUAUGUGCCUAGUGGUUCCGACGUGUUUGCCUAUUACCCUCGUGAGGAUGAAGGGACUGCGCAUCCUACUGUCAGGGAUACUGAGUCCCUUGGGGCUUCAUAUGAUCGUUACUUACGCAAUGGGAUUUCUUCUUAUGGUGCUGGUGAGUCUGUUAGGCCUGUGGGUGGAGGAAUUAAUAACCAACCUAUUGAUGAUCGACGAAUCAUCAGUAUCGGAAGCUUGGAUGGUCGGAGUGCUGGAUAUGGUGGCAGAAGGCCUGAACCUCCGCUUCCUCCAGAUGCUUCAAAUACUUUAUUUGUGGAGGGCCUCCCUGCUGACUGUACACGCAGGGAAGUCUCUCACAUUUUCCGCCCUUUUGUAGGGUUCCAAGAGGUGAGACUUGUGAACAAGGAAUCCAGACAUCCUGGGGCUGAUCCACUUGUCCUAUGCUUUGUUGAUUUCGCCACUACAGCCCAAGCUGCAAUUGCAUUGGAAGCUUUGCAAGUUCUGGUCUUGGUAAUCCUAAAGCAAAGAUAGUAUGAGAGUAUGAGGUUCAUAUUACUGAGACAUUGAGAUCGAACAAGUACAUUAAGGACCAGUGUGAUUUGAACUGUCAAGAUCAACCCCUGCAAAUUUUGGGAUCCGGGAUGGCCAAGACCAGAACAUUCUACUGCCUCAGCAAUAGGCUUCUAUGCUCUACAUUUACCGCCUCACGAAUAGGGGAAACAGAAAGAGUAUGUUGACCACCCAGUACAUUCACCACUAGGACACCUGAAGCUAUGGUGCUUACACUGUUCCGAGAAGAUACAUGAUGGCCUGGAGUUGUUGAAGUCUUAUCUAUGCCUGAUACAGGUCAUAUUUGCAAAACAGUCAAACGGAGAGGUUGAAAACCGAUGUUGUGUCGGCAUACAAUGGAAGUUUUUGGAAUGGUCGUUUGGUAUGACGUCUCUCUCGAAACUAUUUGCAACCCAUACUGAGGAGGUGAAGGAGAUUUCACGUUUGGUGGACUUUUCUGCUUGUCGUGUUUUGAGGUAGUAAUGCUAUCUCUCUUUUCCUCGAUUAUGAUUGGUGCAUUAGGACGGCUGGUUGGGUCAUCUAUUUAUAAUACCUACUCUAAUAUCGAACUUCAUAAUCCAGCCAUUUUUGCAACGAGGAAAAUUUACAUCCCAAGUCUUACUCAUUUUCAUCAUAAAGAACGCUCGAAUACAUUUAUGAAAGGGAAAGUUUGUAUGCGUUUGUACGUUUAUAAUAUUAAAAUUUAAGUUUAGCAUGUA